rnacentral:ncRNA from 1 species
UGGUAACGCUAGGGGUCCCGCACAAAUCCGCGACGUUUUCGCGGUCCAGCAGGCGAGCUCCGAACUUUCCCGACAGGGAGGUUCGUAACCUUGCCACCGGACGGGUGAGAAAAACCCUUGGAACCUGAUCAAGUUAACUCUUGCGCAGGGAAGCGUAUGCCGGGUUCC